rnacentral:misc_RNA from 1 species
UCCGAGUUGACCCCGGCAGUCUUCGAUGAGUCCCCGGCAUGAUCCGCUGGCAACAUCGAACAAGGGUUGCGCUCGUUGCGGGACUUAACCCAACAUCUCACGACACGAGCUGACGACAACCAUGCACCACCUGUCCACCGACCAUAAAGGGGCCCCAAUCUCUUGAGGUUUCCGGUGGAUGUCAAGCCUUGGUAAGGUUCUUCGCGUUGCGUCGAAUUAAGCCACAUGCUCCGCUGCUUGUGCGGGCCCCCGUCAAUUCCUUUGAGUUUUAGCCUUGCGGCCGUACUCCCCAGGCGGGGCACUUAAUGCGUUAGCUGCGGCACAGACGACGUGGAAUGUCGCCCACACCUAGUGCCCAUCGUUUACGGCGUGGACUAC